UCUAUACAGGUUACGACAAAAGCCCGUUUUGGCCGAUUUCCAAUGAAAAAAUGAAUGAAAAUUUUGACAGACAAAUUGGAUUGGUUUGUUUACAAUUGGACUGGUUUGUUUACAAUUUGACUGGAUUUCAAUCGUGCAAUGCUGUGGCAAGGGAGAAAUCGACUAAGUGAGAUUCCAGUAAAAAUAUGCUUUCGUUGUCGUGAUCCAACAUGAAAAGAUCCAACAUGAAGGAGUUUAAGAUUGUGUCAGGGAAAAGGAUUACAUCGAGCAAGUGGAGGAUUAAUGUGAAAUCAUUCGCUUCUCAGCAUUACCAGCAUUACGGAUAAGGAGAUAAAUAAGCGUGUGAAGUACACAGCUAGAAAGCAUAUGUUGGAGGGAAAAUGUAUGCUGUUUUUGGAACUUGCACGAUGUCUCAGGUGGGUGUGCAGUGCAGACACAGUUUCAUCUUACGAGUUUCUUUUCCGUCCAACAACAGUAAAGUAUAUAUGGAGAGGGAGGGGUGCAAAGUGCCGUACUUUCCCAAAGUAAUCACUGUUCGUAAUAGGUGAGGAAUAUUAUCAUGCCUGGCUGUUGCACAGUAUCCGUUGGGAUGAGGUCUAACUCCCUCGAGGCUAACGGACGAUGUCCCAUUCCGCCCUACUGCAACAUAGUGUCCAGAUGACCGAGAUGGCAUGUUGCUUCGGCUAGGUGAGUAUCGUUGCACUAAUGAACCAAUGCCCCGUUGAAUGUAGUUCCAUUCCAGGGAACGAAAUCUUUUAUCGACCGGAUGCAGCUGCAGCAUUAGCAGAGGGAGAAGAGUUAUGCCACUAUGGGUAUAAAAUAGAGAUGUACUGUCAUAUAGAGAUAUAACAGUGCCGUGCAGUGCUUUUGGAUUUAACAGUGCAGCAUGAUGGACCCAGUACAUAAAUAAGCAACAAUUGCAACCAUAGCCUGACUCCAGCGUGUGAUCUGGAGGGAUAAUAAGUUUUGACACGCAGACUGGAUGCACGCGAUCAUACGUCAUCUAUCAUCUCGGUUCAUUAUUUAAUUUAAUUUUAUUUAGUUUUUAUUUCAUACAAAUAUCUGCUUCAGAAGGCUAAAUAUAAGGAAACAUAUAAACAAAAAAUUGAAAUAAUUAUAACAAACUAAUAACAUAUUAUAAUUACAAACUAACAACGUAGAUUGGGCCACAAGCAAUUUAAUAACACAGACAAUAUAGUAGGAUGGCACAGAUAUGAUAAGGAAACGAGUUAAAGAACUGUAGGAAGAGGGAGCGAAGAGAUUGAGGGAGGAUAUGAAAGUCAAACUCACCAGAGGCACUGUUGAAGCGAUGAAGGGAUUGAAUAAACGGAUCGUUCGAAUGAUAUAGCGUUCUUCUCGACGGAAUUAGUAUAAAUUCGCGGCUUCAGAAAGUGAGCGGGUGUGUACAGUGUAAUUCUAUUAAGUAAUGAAGGACAGUCAAAAACCCUAGAAAGUAAGGACGUCGGGUUCACCCGAAUGAAUAGUAGUUGUAAGGAAGCAUAACUGACUCCGACCCGUUGGUGCAGCGAGUUUGGGUCAGGUCAAAGUAGGUUCAAUACCCGACCCGUACUCGCUGCACCAAUGGGUCGUAAUCGCUUAUGCUUUCUCGCAUCUACUGGAAUCAUUGCACCUAAUACUUUUAUUUGCAACUUUCAGGUCGACCCGCACAACUCCGGGUUGCUUGGGAUUGCUCCGACCCGGUAAGUUCUAGUUGCUCCGCCUAUCACAAGUGUGUGUGUAUGAAGAACGUGUGUGAGUUGUCGGAUCGCUGACCAAGGAGUAGGAGAAUGAGAUAAAAGUGAGGGAUAGCAAUUAAACCACACGUGCAGAGAACUAGGGAGUUAAUGUUUAACGAGUCCGUUGUAGUAAUAAUAAUUGUAAAUAAACUUCAAAUAUAAACUUAAAACAUAUUUUUGUCUAA